GGCCAGGCGCCAUGCAUGGGCAGGCGCGUGAACCCCGCCAGGGCCGGAAGGCAGCAACGGUGACGACGUCCUCCCAGUGCCGUGGAUUGCCUGGCCACU
rfam:Lacunisphaera limnophila strain IG16b chromosome, complete genome.